UCCUAGUUAACCUAGGCAGUCUUGCCAGAGUCCCCGCCAUUACGCGUUGGCAACUGACAAUAAGGGUUGCGCUCGUUGCGGGACUUAACCCAACACCUCACGGCACGAGCUGACGACAGCCAUGCAGCACCUAUAUAGAACCCCUUUCGGGAAGCAACAUUUCUGUUGUUGUGCUCUACAUUUCGAGCCUGGGUAAGGUUCUUCGCGUAGCAUCGAAUUAAACCACAUGCUCCACUGCUUGUGCGGGCCCCCGUCAAUUCUUUUGAGUUUCACCCUUGCGAGCGUACUCCUCAGGCGGCAUACUUAACGCGUUCGCUCCGAUACGGACAGGGUUGAGCCCGCCCACAUCUAGUAUGCAUCGUUUAAGGCUAGGACUAC
rnacentral:misc_RNA from 1 species